rnacentral:tRNA from 1 species
AUCUAAAUAGCUUAUAAAGAGCAUGGUAUUGAAGAUACCAAGGAAAUAAAAUUUAUUUUUAGAUA